rnacentral:rRNA from 1 species
CAGGUCAUUAAUUUGGUGUGUUGGGGAAGCAGGACUAUUACCUUGAAAAAAUUAAAGUGCUCAAACCAGGCUACUGCCUGAAUACUUUACUAUGGAAUAAUAAAAUAGGACUGCAUGCUUCUAUUUUGUUGGUUUCUAAGAUCACCGUAGUGAUUAAUAGGGAUAGUUGGGGGCAUUAUUAUUCUGUUGUAAGAGGUGAAAUUCUUGGAUUUAUUGAAUACUAACUUCUGCGAAAGCAUUUGCCGAGGAUGUUUUCAUUAAUCAAGAACGGAAAUUAGGGGAUCGAAGACGAUCAAAUACCGUCGUAUUCUUAACCAUAAACUAUGCCGACGAGGGAUCGGACGAUGUUUUUUUUUUAAUGACUCCUUCGGC